rnacentral:rRNA from 1 species
GAUGAACGCUGGCGGCGUGCCUAAUACAUGCAAGUCGAGCGAACAGACGAGGAGCUUGCUCCUCUGACGUUAGCGGCGGACGGGUGAGUAACACGUGGAUAACCUACCUAUAAGACUGGGAUAACUUCGGGAAACCGGAGCUAAUACCGGAUAAUAUAUUGAACCGCAUGGUUCAAUAGUGAAAGACGGUUUUGCUGUCACCUAUAGAUGGAUCCGCGCCGCAUUAGCUAGUUGGUAAGGUAACGGCUUACCAAGGCAACGAUGCGUAGCCGACCUGAGAGGGUGAUCGGCCACACUGGAACUGAGACACGGUCCAGACUCCGACGGGAGGCAGCAGUAGGGAAUCUUCCGCAAAGGGCGAAAGCCUGACGGAGCAACGCCGCGUGAGUGAUGAAGGUCUUCGGAUCGUAAAACUCUGUUAUUAGGGAAGAACAAAUGUGUAAGUAACUAUGCACGUCUUGACGGUACCUAAUCAGAAAGCCACGGCUAACUACGUG